rnacentral:rRNA from 1 species
AUACGUAGGUGGCAAGCGUUGUCCGGAUUUACUGGGUGUAAAGGGCGAGUAGGCGGGAUAGCAAGUCAGAUGUGAAAUGCCAGGGCUUAACCACGGGGCUGCAUCUGAAACUAUGUUUCUUGAGUGUCGGAGAGGAAAGUGGAAUUCCCAGUGUAGCGGUGAAAUGCGUAGAUAUUGGGAGGAACACCAGUGGCGAAGGCGACUUUCUGGACGAUAACUGACGCUGAGGCGCGAAAGCGUGGGGAGC